GACGAACGCUGGCGGCGUGCUUAACACAUGCCAGUCGAACGAAGAGCGAUGGAAGCUUGCUUCUAUCAAUCUUAGUGGCGAACGGGUGAGUAACGCGUAAUCAACCUGCCCUUCAGAGGGGGACAACAGUUGGAAACGACUGCUAAUACCGCAUACGAUCUAAUCUCGGCAUCGAGGAUAGAUGAAAGGUGGCCUCUACAUGUAAGCUAUCACUGAAGGAGGGGAUUGCGUCUGAUUAGCUAGUUGGAGGGGUAACGGCCCACCAAGGCGAUGAUCAGUAGCCGGUCUGAGAGGAUGAACGGCCACAUUGGGACUGAGACACGGCCCAGACUCCUACGGGAGGCAGCAGUGGGGAAUCUUCCGCAAUGGACGAAAGUCUGACGGAGCAACGCCGCGUGAGUGAUGACGGCCUUCGGGUUGUAAAGCUCUGUUAAUCGGGACGAAAGGCCUUCUUGCGAAUAGAGAGAAGGAUUGACGGUACCGGAAGAGAAAGCCACGGCUAACUACGUG
rnacentral:rRNA from 1 species